GUUGAAAUAUCGGUCCCUGUACGAUCACCGAAGUUAAGCAAUCUUGAGCCUGGUAUGUACAUGGGUGACCGCUUGGAAAUACCAGGAGCUGUAA